rnacentral:rRNA from 1 species
GAGUUUGAUCCUGGCUCAGAACGAACGCUGGCGGCAGGCUUAACACAUGCAAGUCGAGCGCCCCGCAAGGGGAGCGGCAGACGGGUGAGUAACGCGUGGGAAUGUACCCUUUGCUACGGAAUAGCUCCGGGAAACUGGAAUUAAUACCGUAUGUGCCCUUCGGGGGAAAGAUUUAUCGGCAAAGGAUCAGCCCGCGUUGGAUUAGCUAGUUGGUGGGGUAAAGGCCUACCAAGGCGACGAUCCAUAGCUGGUCUGAGAGGAUGAUCAGCCACAUUGGGACUGAGACACGGCCCAAACUCCUACGGGAGGCAGCAGUGGGGAAUAUUGGACAAUGGGCGCAAGCCUGAUCCAGCCAUGCCGCGUGAGUGAUGAAGGCCUUAGGGUUGUAAAGCUCUUUCAACGGUGAAGAUAAUGACGGUAGCCGUAGAAGAAGCCCCGGCUAACUUCGUGCCAGCCGCCGCCGUAAG